AAUGAAUGUGAGCUAUGCACCAGGUAGGCUCCCAGGAAAGGGAGGUAAGUCUCAUUCGACUGCUUAAAUACCCAGUCUUUCCUUGCCAGAGAGUCUUUCCUUGCCAGAGCUUAUCCUAGACAUGCACAUUUACAUUACAAUACUUCACAUUUUUUAAAAGAAUAAUUUGCAAAUUAACUUAAUUUUAUUCAUAAUUGCAACUUAAAAAAAUUAUUACACAGAAAAACUUAAAGAAAUAGAACAAAAAGAACAAAAAUCCCCCCCAAUUAUUUGUUGACAUUGUCAAACUCUGUCCCUUCAUCCAUGUUAUCAACUAAUAUGAAUUUGAUUACGAGUUUAGAAUUUGAUCCAUGAUUUGAUAUGCCCAUUCGUCUAAAUAGAUACUUUCUCAGAAAAAAUGGAAGUUAAGCUUAGAACUUGAAAUGUAUUUAGGUAAUGGAAUGGAAGAACGGAAUGAAUAAAAAUUGAUAAAACGAAACUUGAUCCAAAAAUGAACCAGCACUAUGAAACAGUGUGACCCGAUUUCUACAAAGCAAAGUUAAGUCUUAACAAGUUGGUUGUUUUAAGAAAGAUCGUGGCCCAUUAUCUAUAUUGAGAUAGGAACCAACGAUAUAGGAUGAUCGUCACACUUCAGAAAGAGUUGAGAAGGGACGUGAUAGGAUCUAUUAAUGAACAGCGCAUGAAGGUAAGUUCAUGAUAAGUUUGGUUUUAUUCCUGAAAAGAAGAAAGUAUAAAAUCAGUUUAAGUUUCAAAGUUGAUUGAUUGGUUCAUUCACUCUUACAAAGUGACCUAGGUCGAAUAUUUAUAGGCCUUGAAAAAUGCCUCUUCAAAACCG
rnacentral:lncRNA from 1 species